rnacentral:tRNA from 1 species
UGCCAUGUGGUGUAGUGGUCAGCACGCUCGACGCGUAUUCGAGAGGUCCGUGGUUCGAGUCCCGGCGAGGAUA